rnacentral:lncRNA from 1 species
GAGGAGGCAGAGAGAUUGUAAGAGCCAGAGGAGGUGAUAACUAAAGCGUUUAUCUAAUUAUCCUUUAUCAAUAAAAAAAUAAGAGUCAGAUAUCAGAGUAAGAACCUGAAAGAUCAGAGAAGCAGGGAGCAGCCACCAGUCGCCUCCCACCUCUUCCAUUCCUUCCUCCUCUCUCAACCCUGCCUUACUACUUCCUGUCUCCUCUCUGUCUACAGUCCUCCAAAACCUCUAUGGUUUAUUUUGGUCAGCUCGUAGCUGGCUCUGCCCUCUGACUCCAAGCAAGCUUUAUCUGUCAGAACACAAUCAAAAUAUCACACAACAGAUGACUACAUCAGAACUGAGUUUUCCAGACACACAAGUGCAGCUGGACAUACGAACUCACAGACGUUGUGACAGAUGAACAAGGAACAAAGGGAAGCCAGGCAAAAUGCUAACACUGGUGGGAAGCUCUCCCUCUCUUUGAUGGGCACCUAACAAUUCCUUGACUUGGUAGCUGCGAGGCAUGAACACU